AUAAAAAGCAAAGAAUUCAAUAACUAAUGUGAAUGUUUGACAAAAGGAUUUCGAUAUUUUUGCGAAAAUGAUAAUCGAUGAGACAAUCGAACUGUACAUUUUGCUAUCUUCACAAGGUUGAUCCACAUAAGUUCAUAUAUAUGUAUCUAGGUGGCGCAGAGAAAAAGUAAUGUGUUUUUAAAACGACAAACGUAGACUUAUGAUGAAGAAAUAUCCUUCAUUAUUAUAAGUGACAUUUUAUUAGUGAGAAAAGAAAUCGGUUGAUGUCAGAUCGAUCAAUGACUUUAUGUGUAAGUGAGAAAUUACGAUGAAUCUUGAAUGUCUCGGGGCAGAUAGCUGAAUAAAAAUCUAAUUUUCAGGUAUCUGUCGACAUAUCUUGUAUCACUAACGUAUAAGCUACGUACGCCUCCAUUAUUCGCAGUUAAACGUUCGUUUCUUUCAAAUAUAAUAGAGCCAGUUUUUCGCUGAAAUUAAUAUCUCUCGGUCAUCAACAUGAAUUCGUUUCCACGGAGAAGUCAUCGAUGUGUCGUCCUGAUAGAAACAUCUGAUCGGAAUCUGUUAUCCUGUUGAAAUCGCAAGAGGAGGUGCGGCGAGGAGGGAGGGGUGAGUUCCAAAAUUUCAUAAUAGACAAUCGUAUUAUCAUGACAAUAUCGAAUGAUUGGUAUCAUUCUAUUUACUCGGCUAUGAUUCUAUUUUUAGGAACGAAA